UAAGUUCGGAGGAUAGUCUGAUGCGGU
rnacentral:piRNA from 1 species